rnacentral:lncRNA from 1 species
CAGGUUGACCACGUGACCGUAUGUCAACGGACCGUCAAGGCCGUCAAGGCCUGUUUCAUCGGACCGCUCUGCCGAUCUCUCGGCGUGGAGGAAACGUAAACAAAGGAGCUGUGCGCACCUGCUUUAAACAGAAGGCAGAAAACAAUGAGCCAGCCAUCAUCGUGCAGGAAGCCGACGCCAAAUGGGCUGCUGCUGAAUUGGUCAGGCAUGCACCAGCUAGGACCAAGAAAAUGGAGCAGUGUGCCUCUUCUCAGGAGUGACUGAGG